rnacentral:misc_RNA from 1 species
GAUGAAGAACGCAGCGAAAUGCGAUAAGUAAUGUGAAUUGCAGAAUUCAGUGAAUCAUCGAAUCUUUGAACGCACCUUGCGCCCUUUGGCUAUUCCGAAGGGCAUGCCUGUUUGAGUAUCAUGAACACCUCAACUCUCAUGGCUUGCUGUGAUGAGCUUGGAAUUUGGGGGUCUUGUUGGCUUGUGAGCCAGCUCCUCCUAAAUGAAUUAGCUUGCCGGUGUUUGGUGGCAUCACAGGUGUGAUAACUAUCUACUCUUGUGGUUUUCCAUCAGGUAACCUCCAGUGAUGGAGGUUCGCUGGGGCUCAUAAAUGUCUCUCCUCAGUGAGGACAGAUUUUGACUGUUUGAUCUCAAAUCAGGUAGGACUACCCGCUGAACUUAAGCAUAUCAAUAAGCGGAGGA